AACUUCUAGAUCAGCUAAUACUGCAGUGAGGGAACCACCAGGUCCUGAGUGGAGAUUCAACUGCCCUCUUCUAAUAGGCCAGUGAAUAUUGUUAAUAGCAAAUACUAGAAAGUCAUUUCAGAAGCAGAUGGAACAAAGUACAGGGCAGCAUCCUGACUGAUGUUACAAUACAAACAGUGGAUUUCUUUAUAACAGGGCUGCAUUUUAAAGCAUUUUUUAAAAGAUAUUAAAAACAUGGUUUAAAGACUUUU